GGGCUGGGAGACGAUCCCU
rnacentral:miRNA from 1 species